rnacentral:lncRNA from 1 species
CCUAGCCAAGCUCCCCUUUUGGGUCACCUACAGCCCGUGGUCAGCGAAACCAGCUACUCCUCUGCACUCCAGGCCCUCUCUCUGAGUCUCCUCCUCCUCCACAUUCCGGAGUCCAGGCCCAGAGAGGAGGACUCAGGCCUUGUAGACCUUACCUCUCUCUAGCUGCUCGCUCUUCCCAGAUGAGACGUUCACCUUCCUGUGCUUCUGUCCCCUUUCCCAGAGGGAGAAACUGAGGCUUAUGAAUCCUUGACCAGGAUUCAGACUCAGCUUCAUGGGAUCUCAGGCUUGUGCUCGGCCAUCUUCCUAGCUGUAUGUCAUAAUGACUGUGAUCAACAGCUCAGCUAGCAUAGCCUGAAUCUUCUGGUAAUCACAAAUGCCUCCAGGAAUCAUGUUGUCAUGUUGAGGUUAUAGAUGUCGGGUGACUCUGAGGCUCGAGGAGAGGAAGACGAAGAUCUGAGCCCGCCAUGAGGGAUCUGAGCUGAGGUGAGAUCAGUCCGGAAGGAUGCACAUCACUGACUCCACAGGCUGUGUGGUAGGAGGGACUGUCCUGACCCAGUGCUGUCUGUCUGUCCUCAGGGGCCAACCUAACCAUCAGCUUUCUGCCUCAGUGGAGAUUCUGCCUGCCCACUUCCUUCCAAAGAGCAGGGUUUGGGGGCACACACGUUGGAUCACUCUCCAGAGGCAUCAGCAAUCAACCCUGUCGCUAUGCACUUGAUCCACGGUUGCUGCUGAGGAGUUCCUGGUUCAUCACGUGGCCGUGCUGAGGAGCCACAGAGAAGCCUCAUUCAAAGUGGAGCGCAAACAACUUGUAGCAAGCCUGAAAGUCGCUAUAAUUGCAGACUGUUGACACUGGUCAUGUGUACACACCUGUGCCCGUGUACAAGCAUAGACUCACCUGCAUGCUGUUAUCUUACCCACUGUGAGGUCGAGGCUAGUGCUGGGACACACACCAGCUCGUGUGAUCCAGCUUCCUUUUCUUUCUCCUCCCUCAGCCCCAAACCCUAAUAAUGAUCACUUAUUGAGUGCCUACUGUGUGGCAGGCAAGAUACCAGCCUGCUGAUUCAUCAAUUUGCACCAAGGUUGUAGGGGUAGAGGAGCUGACUUUCCAAACAUGGCCAAACCGAAUCGAUCCUGUCGAUUAUUAAUAUCUGUGGUAGGUGCAGGAAGGGAGUACUGAUAAAGGUGCUUCAUGUGUGCCUUAAUUUGUGAGGCAUAUAAUAUUGCAUGCUUUCUAUUUAAUCAUGGGUCAUUUAGUAAGUUGCCCCCAAAACUUUUGUGGAAUAAGACUUUGUGUAACUAAGUAACGACCGUUCAUUAUAAAUAAGUAUUGAGUGAUUGGACAUCAGUUAUUUCUGUAGGUAGAAACCUACAGAGGUUAUUGCAGAUGGAAAGAACUGGGUUCCAGGGCUAGAUUGCCGUUAGCCUAUAGAAUGGUUCUGUAUGUAUCAGGAAAGAAUGUCUGUUUGAGGGAUCGUAUCUCAGAGCAUAGCACAGCAUGGAUUUUAGCCCUUUUUACCUCAUUAUCCCAGGUGCUCUUGCU